rnacentral:rRNA from 1 species
GACGAACGCUGGCGGCGUGCUUAACACAUGCAAGUCGAACGAUGAACCCGGAGCUUGCUCCGGCGGAUUAGUGGCGAACGGGUGAGUAACACGUGAGUAACCUGCCCUUGACUCUGGGAUAACUGCGGGAAACUGUAGCUAAUACCGGAUACGACCCUCGGCGGCAUCGCCAGGGGGUGGAAAGAAUUUCGGUGAAGGAUGGACUCGCGGCCUAUCAGCUAGUUGGUGGGGUAACGGCUCACCAAGGCGACGACGGGUAGCCGGCCUGAGAGGGUGACCGGCCACACUGGGACUGAGACACGGCCCAGACUCCUACGGGAGGCAGCAGUGGGGAAUAUUGCACAAUGGGCGCAAGCCUGAUGCAGCAACGCCGCGUGAGGGAUGACGGCCUUCGGGUUGUAAACCUCUUUUAGUAGGGAAGAAGCGAAAGUGACGGUACCUGCAGAAAAAGCACCGGCUAACUACGUGCCAGCCGCCGCGGUAA